UAUUUGAGUUGCACUCUUGCCUUUUGAUC
rnacentral:piRNA from 1 species